AUACGGAGGGGGUUAGCGUUGUUCGGAAUUACUGGGCGUAAAGCGCGCGUAGGCGGCUUUGUAAGUCACCUGUGAAAUCCCGGGGCUCAACUCCGGGGCUGCAGGUGAUACUGCAAAGCUAGAGCUCGGUAGAGGCAAGUGGAAUUCCCGGUGUAGCGGUGGAAUGCGUAGAUAUCGGGAAGAACACCAGUGGCGAAGGCGGCUUGCUGGGCCGAUGCUGACGCUGAGGUGCGAAAGCGUGGGGAGCAAACAGGAUUAGAUACCCGAGUAGUCC
rnacentral:rRNA from 1 species